GACGAACGCUGGCGGCGUGCUUAACACAUGCAAGUCGAACGAAGUGGCGAACGGGUGAGUAACGCGUAAUCAACCUGCCCUUCAGAGGGGGAUAACAGUUGGAAACGACUGCUAAUACCGCAUACUGACGGUGGGGUUUGCGUCUGAUUAGGUAGUUGGAGGGGUAACGGCCCACCAAGGCGAUGAUCAGUAGCCGGUCUAAGUGGAAGGACUGCCAAAAUGGUACUGAUAAAGGGCCCAGACUCCUACGGGGGGCAGCAGUGAGGAAUAUUCCGCAAUCGACGAAAGUCUGACGGAGCAACGCCGCUUGAGUGAUGACGGCCUUCGGGUUGUAAAGCUCUGUUAAUCGGGACGCGGUACCGGAAUAGAAAGCCACGGCUAACUACGUGCCAGCAGCCGCGGUAAUUC
rnacentral:rRNA from 1 species